rnacentral:rRNA from 1 species
GUGGGGAAUCUUGCGCAAUGGGCGAAAGCCUGACGCAGCCAUGCCGCGUGAAUGAUGAAGGUCUUAGGAUUGUAAAAUUCUUUCACCGGGGACGAUAAUGACGGUACCCGGAGAAGAAGCCCCGGCUAACUUCGUGCCAGCAGCCGCGGUAAUACGAAGGGGGCUAGCGUUGCUCGGAAUUACUGGGCGUAAAGGGCGCGUAGGCGGACAGGUUAGUCAGAGGUGAAAGCCCAGGGCUCAACAUUGGAAGUGCCUUUGAUACUGGCUGUCUUGAGUACGGGAGAGGUGAGUGGAACUCCGAGUGUAGAGGUGAAAUUCGUAGAUAUUCGGAAGAACACCAGUGGCGAAGGCGACUCACUGGCCCGUUACUGACGCUGAGGCGCGAAAGCGUGGGGAGCAAACAGGAUUAGAAACCCGAGUAGUCC